rnacentral:rRNA from 1 species
AGAGUUUGAUCCUGGCUCAGGAUGAACGCUGGCGGUAUGCUUAACACAUGCAAGUCGAACGGGGCCAUUAGUGGCCUAGUGGCGGACGGGUGAGUAACGCGUGAGAAUCUGGCCUCAGGUCCGGGACAACCAUUGGAAACGGUGGCUAAUACCGGAUGUGCCUUAUGGUGAAAGAUUAAUUGCCUGAGGAUGAGCUCGCGUCUGAUUAGCUAGUUGGUGGGGUAAAGGCCUACCAAGGCUGCGAUCAGUAACUGGUCUGAGAGGAUGACCAGUCACACUGGGACUGAGACACGGCCCAGACUCCUACGGGAGGCAGCAGUGGGGAAUUUUCCGCAAUGGGCGAAAGCCUGACGGAGCAAUACCGCGUGAGGGAGGAAGGCUCUUGGGUUGUAAACCUCUUUUCUCAGGGAAGAACACUGACGGUACCUGAGGAAUCAGCAUCGGCUAACUCCGUGCCAGCAGCCGCGGUAAUACGGAGGAUGCAAGCGUUAUCCGGAAUUAUUGGGCGUAAAGCGUCUGUAGGUGGAUAUUCAAGUCUGCUGUCAAAGACCGUGGCUCAACCAUGGAAAGGCGGUGGAAACUGAAAGUCUAGAGUGCGGUAGGGGCAGAGGGAAUUCCCAGUGUAGCGGUGAAAUGCGUAGAGAUUGGGAAGAACACCCGUGGCGAAAGCGCUCUGCUGGGCCUGCACUGACACUAAGGGACGAAAGCUAGGGGAGCGAAUGGGAUUAGAUACCCUAGUAGUCC